rnacentral:tRNA from 1 species
GCUCUGGUAGUGCAAACAGUAAAGCACUUGGCUGCCAACCAAAAGGUAGGUGGUUCAAACCCACCCAGGGGUU